UAUUAUUUUUGGGUCCCCACACCACUGGGGAAAGCAUGCUCUGCCUUUGCUACAGAGCACCAGGCAGAUGAAAAUCUGCAAUCUGGAAAGAGAGGCUGACAGAAAGUGAUUAAAUGCUACAGUUAAGCUCCCCGUCUUCCUCAGUUUUAGGAUUCAAAUAUGCUGAACCAUUCUACCACAGUUUUUACCGAAAGAAGGUUAGAGAGUUUUCUCCUCAACUCUGGAGGCAGGGAGACAGCCACAACCAUGAAAUUCCCUCCUGGAUUUAAGCUGAUCUGCUCUCAGAGCAGGAAAAAAGCUUUCCCUGCAGCUGUGAACUUCUGCUAGCAAUAAGUAGCAAGGAGUGUGCUUUCCCAAUGCUACUGUACCCACCAGCUUGCUUCAGAAGAGCCAUUAACCAAGUUUUCUAGGUUGGAACAAAGAGCAAACAAGCAAACUUUGGUUUGCACUAGAUCCCAGGCAGGCUCUUGGGGAUCCUCUACACAAGGACCGGGCUAUCACUGACCUCUUAACCUGUGACAUCGUGUCACCUUCAGAGACAUUUGUGUCCCCAGAGGCUCAGCAUUGCCAGAGCAGCAGGAAAGUGGGGCACAUCUUGCGUUGGAAGCAUUUAGCAGAGCCUUCCCGAUUGUUCUUGGAGCGACAUCAGACAAGAGUAGUACAUAAGUGUGUGAGAAACCAGAAGAAAGAGAAGCAGAAGGCCCUAAACAACAACAAGUUAACACCAUGAGAGUCUGGAUGCUGGACAUGCAGAAAGAAAGUGAUCAGUGACAGUCAAUGAAGUGGUUGCCUGGUGGUGGCUUUGCAAACCAUUCCUGAGGCACCCCUCCACGUAGGAUUUGGGAUCGCAUCCGGAUAGCAGGAUCUCCCCAAGGAGAGCGAUGUAGGCGAUGGCCAAGCGGAGUGUGUCAAUCUUGGAUAGGCGCUUCUCAUAGGGGAAAGUCGGAACGUGGCACCUGAGCUCGUCGAAGGCCGAGUUGAUGUUGAGCAUCCUCUUCCUCUCACGGACGUUUGCGGCGCGGCGGUGGAGGCUGGCGGGGGGAGGCCGGGAGCUGUCCGCUUCAGCACCCCCCGUAGCUCCGGCUGCCGCGCUCAGCAGGACAGGUUCAAGAGAUGUGUGAAGUUUAUGAGCUACAGAAAGCUUACUGAUCAGGAGAGCUAAAAGUACUAAUCGCAGGAGCUUCAAAUAAUGAGUCAGAGACCAGAAAACAACCCCCAUUUUCAAUGGGUCCAAAAGGAUGAUUAUGUUCCCUAUCUCUUAACAGUGACUUAGGUUGCAGUCCUAGCUUUGUCCUGCAAAUAGAGGGAUUUCUUUUAAGAUAAGGCUUAGGCUAUUAAUGACUCAUCUUUCUAACUACACAUCAUGGCAUUUUUUCCUGCUGCAGGAAGAUUAAAAACAGUAGACAACAGGCUACAGGAGUGACUUUGCAAAGAGAUAUGAGAGAGUUGCAGUGUAUAAAAUACUAUUUUUUAUUUCUUAUUUUUUAUUUUUAUCUCUUUUUUUAUCUCUUAUUUCUUAUUUCCUUAUUAUUUAUUAUUUCUUCUCCUUAUGCAAAAUAAUCAGAACCUGUUAUCUGAAAAUUUGCUUGAGAAAGGGAAAUGUAAAAUGUGAAUGCCUGACAGAGUAGAUAGUGGCUAAAUGACAAGAAUGAAUUUGUUUUCUCUGAUAAGAUAAGACACAAAUUUGGUAUUAGGUUUUUACAAAAUAAAUCACUUGCUGUGAUAUAGAUAUACCCCAGUGGCAAAAUACUGGUUCUGUGAAACCCCACAGUGACAGAGAUCCUCUGCUCCAAAUGAAUCACAGCGAGGGACAAGGCAGUUACAGAGCAGGAGAUGCUUGGGAGAGGCGAAAGGAAUAGACACAGUCACGGGUGGCAGAGCUGAGACUUGAACUUGGGCCAGUGAACACAGAGGUCAUUCUGUGAUGUUUUCUUUGAAAUUGUCCCAUCGUAUUUUCCAGUGUUGUGUACAAGCAGUGGUCUCAGAGGAAAUUACUUACCACAGUCCCCAUACUUGGCAGUGGGGCUGCAUAUCUGACCCCAGCAGUCCUUUCUACACUCUAGAAAGUAGAUUUGGGCUCUUGUGCAGAAAAGAGGUAGUGGGAAAGCCUUCUUGCCUCAGCCCCUUACCAUGGCACCACCAUGGCACAUGGCACCAUCAAAGCACCUCUGUGGCACUGCUGCUGUGUGGUUGGCUUCCCACAGGUGCUUUGCAGUUCCCAGAUUUCACGUUCUGGUUUGAAUGCUUCUAUAGCUCACCAGUCACUGUUUAACUGAGCACUUGGCAGUUCUCAUUUGACUACCUUAUGCUCAAAUAUAAGACACUUGAAAAUACUUAAAGCAGCAAGAGAAUAGUGGCCUUCUCCUGAACAGGACUCUGGGAGCAAUGGGCAGAAAAGAGGAGGCUUGGCAAAUAGCAUGGUUAUAUUUUUAUGUGCUGGGUUCCUCUUUCUCAGCAGAUGCUUCUUCAGUGCUUAAUGUUCCCUUCCAGAUCCAUCACUGCUAAUAGUGUUGCCUGGGGAUAUGUCUGGCUCCACAGAUGGAGAGCAGAUGUUCCAGCAAGCCUUCUUUUAGCAUGUUCAGGGGAAUUUGGCUCUCUUAGAGAGACUCUGGACAAAGCAGAAGAGGGAGGAGGGGAGUGGAAGGGAGGAAAGCAAGAAAAGAUUUUCCCUUAGAAAGCCAGCUAUGAAAGAGGUCAUAAGAGAGGCUGAGGAUCCCAUCCCUCACACGAACAAACCUUACUACAGCUUCAGAUCUGUUGAACUCUCAAUGUUUCUGACACCAGGGUUGUCAGAAGGGGACAUGUACUGCUAUGUACUGCUAGUUGGACCAAUUUUGCACUUUUCUGGAAGGUUUGGUAAAGCCCCAAACAGUGAAUAAGGUGGCACCAGUACUAUGUUGAGUGAAGGUGCUGUUGAUUAUGACACCCUGGUAAAAUUUCAAGAUCUGCUCAACAGUCACGUUCCCCAUAACAUCUUCAGAUUGAGUGGGAUCCAGAAAUAAUUUUUUUCUGCUUGCCACUUUUUCUGCUAGCACUUAAUUCUUGAGGUGACAGCAGUUUUAUAUAUAUCUAUGCUAGGUAAUGGAGCUAUGGCCAUUUGUAUUUGCAUUUUAAUCCUGCCAGGUCUGGGUAUCCAUGACUCCCUGCAUAACUUUCCCUGUUCAUGCUGGAAGCCACUUUUCUAAGUUCUGUUUGAUCUGUCUCCAUUAUCCGAACAAACCCAUGGCAGACUCUGGGGUUUUGCCUGUUUCAUAGAGUUUGGGAGUUCCCUGCUUUCAGGGAAUAUUUCCACUGCAGCUGGUAUCUUUUUCUUUUCAGUAUUUUAGUAACUGAAAGUUUUUACCCUGUACGUGUAUCUCAAAGAUAACAGGGCAUUCUGGGGUUAUUUGGGAAAUAGAUCUUCCCCUCCCCUUCUUGACCUAUUGACCGUAUUUCAGGUUCAUCUUGGAGAACCUUACCAAAUUUUAGAGGAAAUCAAUGAAACCAGUUUUAGAGGAAUCAAUGAAACCUCCCAGUUCUGGCAAAAUGGCGUUCGUUUUCCUGGGAAUGUAGUUUGAGCAUGUUUCCACCAUCUUUAAUUGUUUAAUAAAGGGAGUCAGACCUUGGACUAGACAGAUAACAAAUGUAGAAAGGACCAGGUGCUCUAUUUUCAGGUUAGGUAACUCCAAAGUACAAGCCCACCAUGUAACUGCUGCUAAUCCAAGCCAAUGCUGCAUAGGGCUGACACCGUGUUCAUCAGCAGACCUGGGAAAUGGGUCCCAAAUCACAGAGAAAAUGAGGUGAAAGAGGCCAGAAAUUUGGGGGAAUGCUUUAUCUGGGUGGGAGUGUGCAGCCAAAUGGUGCUGCCAAACUAGAGCUGAAGAGAAGGAUUUACAGGACCUGAACUGGCCUGGUAGUGCAUUGGUUGAGCUCUUUAUAGCUGCAGCUAAGUGGUGGACCACCAAGUUUCUCUACCUUCUUUUGGGCCAUUUGCAAUGCCUGGUAUUCCUGAACUCCUUGGCACAUUGUGAAGUGCUGGGGGCAAAAAAAGUGCAAGUAUUAUCAUUUAACAAUGGAAUGUGCUUCUUUUUAACCUAAAACAAGAGCAAAUGAAACAACGUAAUGAGAAGCAGAACAAAGACUUCCAGAGCAAGAGGAUUUCAAAGGGAUGAUGGCUGUUUCUGAGAUGCUAAAAUAAUUGUGAAAUGAAACCUUCCUAGCAUACACAGGAUGUUGAUUUUAAGUGAAAAAGGUAACAGGACCUCUUAUUCACAGGGUAGAAACAUCAGAUCUUAAAGUUUGUGGGGGCAAGGCACUGGUGAAUGAUUGUUAACAUAACUUUGAUUUACUUCUUUAUUAAUAUAAACUACUCAAGAUAGCAUUUGCUUUCAAAGUCUUUGGUGUUUAAAAGUGAACACAGUCACUUUAACUUUUCUUCAGGGUGUUUGCGAAGUUACAGAAAAUUAAUCCCAGUCUCUUUAGGAGAAGGAAGGUAUUUUCUCUAAUAAAAACAGUCACUCGUGGUUUCCCCUUCCUCACUGAGCCUUUUAUGAGUUGAGGGAUGACCUUUGGACUGUUGCUGCCAAGCAGUUCCUCAUCCAAGUCGCUGCUCUGGGGUGUGUGGCUGCUUGUUUGAGUGAACAAUUGUCUUUGGGACAAAACAUGUACAUUAGCCUAUGCUUAUCUGUACAGUUUUGAUCUCAAAGGAAGUGAAGUGCUCAUGGAAACUUCCUUGUGUGAUGGCCCUAGGAGGACUGCUUGUCCUGCAUUGCACGGUGAUUUCUCCAUGCAACCCGAAACAUACCUCAGGAAGGUUAACAUCAGACAGCCUCCAAGGAUUACAGGUCCUGCCCAUGACCAUCCUCAUCUCUGUAGCCAGUGAGAAUUAUCUCCAGGGAGAGGAAAAACUUCAAUUUGUGUGAUUAGCUAAUGCUUUUAUUAAAGGUUUUAUUCAGAUGUCAAUUCUCCCCUCUCCCAUUCAUGGGGUAGUGCCUUAAAGUCAUCAGUGAGUUCAGUCAGCUCUCAGGAUGUCAGGCACUAAGUAAAACAUUCUUCCUCUUGCUUGAGUAUAACUUAACUCCUUUGCAAAACCACUGUCAAAAAGAUGUCUUCUGAAACAUACAUGAACAUUUUUUAAAGGGGUGGGUUAUCCAUUCCAGGAGGCCAAGCACUCUUUCUUUGGGUACAAGCAAUCCUGUAUAUCUGAAUUGUUUAUGGUCUUGUUUGAAUGGGAGAAAAAAAAAAAUCAUUAAAAAAUGAAAAAGCC